UACGGGGGGAGCAAGCGUUGUUCGGAUUUAUUGGGCGUAAAGAGCUCGUAGGCGGUUUGUCGCGUCGUUCGUGAAAACUCACAGCUUAACUGUGAGCUUGCGGUCGAUACGGGCAGGCUAGAGUUCGGUAGGGAGACUGGAAUCCUGGUGUAGCGGUGAAAUGCGCAGAUAUCAGGAGGAACACCGGUGGCGAAGGCGGGUCUCUGGGCCGAUACUGACGCUGAGGAGCGAAAGCGUGGGGAGCGAACAGGA
rnacentral:rRNA from 1 species